CUCAAUGGUAGCUGUGCGCAGGGCGCCUUCGGGUGCGCCGGUAAAGCUUGGAGUCCCGGUCGACUAACCUGCGCAUAGCUGCCACCCAA
rnacentral:antisense_RNA from 1 species